GGGAGGGACUAAUUUCAGA
rnacentral:miRNA from 1 species